AGUGAACGCUGGCGGUAGGCCUAACACAUGCAAGUCGAACGGCAGCACAGUAAGAGCUUGCUCUUACGGGUGGCGAGUGGCGGACGGGUGAGGAAUACAUCGGAAUCUACUUUUUCGUGGGGGAUAACGUAGGGAAACUUACGCUAAUACCGCAUACGACCUACGGGUGAAAUCAGGGGAUCUUCGGACCUUGCGCGAUUGUAUGAGCCGAUGUCGGAUUAGCUAGUUGGCUGGGUAAAGGCCCACCAAGGCGACGAUCCGUAGCUGGUCUGAGAGGAUGAUCAGCCACACUGGAACUGAGACACGGUCCAGACUCCUACGGGAGGCAGCAGUGGGGAAUAUUGGACAAUGGGCGCAAGCCUGAUCCAGCCAUACCGCGUGGGUGAAGAAGGCCUUCGGGUUGUAAAGCCCUUUUGUUGGGAAAGAAAAGCAGCAGGUUAAUACCCCGCUGUUCUGACGGUACCCAAAGAAUAAGCACCGGCUAACUUCGUG
rnacentral:rRNA from 1 species